UACGUAGGGCGCAAGCGUUGUCCGGAAUUAUUGGGCGUAAAGAGCUCGUAGGCGGUCUGUUACGUCCGCUGUGAAAACCCAGGGCUUAACCCUGGGCUUGCAGUGGAUACGGGUAGACUAGAGGCAGGUUGGGGAGAAUGGAAUUCCCGGUGUAGCGGUGAAAUGCGCAGAUAUCGGGAGGAACACCGGUGGCGAAGGCGGUUCUCUGGGCCUGACCUGACGCUGAGGAGCGAAAGCGUGGGGAGCGAACAGG
rnacentral:rRNA from 1 species